GCCCAAAAUCCGGGAAUCUCUAUGCCGAGCACCGAGACGAGUCCUAUGAGGACGAAGUGACUGACACCACGCUUCCAGGAAAAGCCACUAAGCUUCAGCUGUAGAAAAACCGUACCGCAAACCGACACAGGUAGGCAGGGUGAGAAUCCCAAGGCGCUUGAGAGAACUCGGGUGAAGGAACUAGGCAAAAUGGCACCGUAACUUCGGGAGAAGGUGCGCCUCUUGGUGUGGUCACGUGCGUGACUGAGCAUCGAGGGGUCGCAGUAACCUGGCCGCUGCGACUGUUUAUCAAAAACACAGCACUCUGCAAACACGAAAGUGGACGUAUAGGGUGUGACGCCUGCCCGGUGCUGGAAGGUUAAUUGAUGGGGUCAGCCGCAAGGCGAAGCUCUUGAUCGAAGCCCCAGUAAACGACGGCCGUAACUAUAACGGUCCUAAGGUAGCGAAAUUCCUUGUCGGGUAAGUUCCGACCUGCACGAAUGGCGUAACGACAGCGGCGCUGUCUCCACCCGAGACUCAGUGAAAUUGAAAUCGCUGUGAAGAUGCAGCGUUCCCGCGGCAAGACGGAAAGACCCCGUGAACCUUUACUAUAGCUUUACACUGAACGUUGAGUUCUUCUGUGUAGGAUAGGUGGGAGGCUAUGAAACCAGGACGCUAGUUCUGGUGGAGCCAUCCUUGAAAUACCACCCUGAAGUGCUUGACGUUCUAACCUAGGUCCGUAAUCCGGAUCGGGGACCGUGUAUGGUGGGUAGUUUGACUGGGGCGGUCUCCUCCCAAAGAGUAACGGAGGAGCACGAAGGUACGCUCAGCGCGGUCGGACAUCGCGCACUGUGUGCAAAGGCAUAAGCGUGCUUGACUGCGAGAUCGACGGAUCAAGCAGGUACGAAAGUAGGUCUUAGUGAUCCGGUGUUCUGUAUGGAAGGGCCAUCGCUCAACGGAUAAAAGGUACUCCGGGGAUAACAGGCUGAUACCGCCCAAGAGUUCAUAUCGACGGCGGUGUUUGGCACCUCGAUGUCGGCUCAUCACAUCCUGGGGCUGUAGCCGGUCCCAAGGGUAUGGCUGUUCGCCAUUUAAAGUGGUACGCGAGCUGGGUUCAGAACGUCGUGAGACAGUUCGGUCCCUAUCUGUCGUGGGCGUUGGAGAUUUGAGGGGGGCUGCUCCUAGUACGAGAGGACCGGAGUGGACGUUCCGCUGGUGUUCGGGUUGUCAUGCCCAUGGCAUUGCCCGGUAGCUACGAACGGAAGUGAUAACCGCUGAAAGCAUCUAAGCGGGAAGCACGCCCCAAGAUGAGAUCUCCCGAGAGCUUGACUCUCCUAAAGGCACCAUCAAGACUAGGUGGUUGAUAGGCACGGUGUGGAAGUGCAGCAAUGCAUUGAGCUUACGUGUACUAAUGAGCCGUGAGGCUUGACCG
rnacentral:rRNA from 1 species